rnacentral:rRNA from 1 species
GCUCCAAUAGCGUAUACUAAAGUUGUUGCAGUUAAAAAGCUCGUAGUUGGAUUUCUGGCUGCGACGGCCGGUCCGCCGCACUGCGGCGCGCACCGUGCCAGUCGCGGCCAUCCUUGCGAGGAAGCUGUCUGGCAUUCACUUGUCGGGCAGCGGACUCGCAUCGUUUACUGUGAGAAAAUUAGAGUGUUUAAAGCAGGCGU